AUUGUGGAAAUUUUGUGGAAGCACGCGUCCCAGUUUUUAGUUAGCGUCCGGUUAGUUCAGUAUCAUCAAUCGAAAGGAAUCAAACCCUUCGUUUCCGCAAAUUAAUUGAAAUUCGUUUUGAUCUCUCGUGUGUUUAAAACAAAUUAAAAAAAAAAAAAAACAUUCAAAAUGAAUGAAAUGACAAGUUUGUUAACUACUUUUACCAUCUUGGUAUUCCUAUUGGGAUUAUUAUACGCUUUUUACGUUACACUAUCUUAGGCGGUUGUAUUAAUUUUAAUUAAAAUAGUCAACUAGUUGUAUUCCAUUUAUUUUGUCAUCAUGUAUUAUUAAUAUUGAAGAGGAUGUAAUUUUUAACGCUUAACAAGAUGACGUAAUGACGGAUAUGGCGCCAAGAAAGGGAACAACAAAAACGGAUAUGCAAUUUCAAUCAUGUAGACAAUAUUUAAAUUGGCCAAAAUAAAAAUUACCCGCCUACAACAGCAAAGGUGAUGAAUUCAAAGACAAAUGGUUUUUUUUUAAAUGGAUACUUCUGUCUGUCAUGUGUGUUGUUUAAAAGCGGCCUGUUAAAAUCUCAACGUCAUCUUUAAAAACAAAAAAAAAAAUCAAAACAUCAACACUGCUGUAUUUAAUUUUUUUAUUUUUAGCAAUUAUUCGUCAUGUUCAGUUUAUUUUAAAGGGUGCACCUCUGUUGAAUUAUGCGUUUUGUUUAAUUUAGCUUACUUUUUGCAAUUUGUUAUAAUUUCAUUUCAAUCAAUGUCCAUCGAUUUCCCGGGAUUGAUGAGAUAUCCAUCAAGUUUUAUGGUAAAUGUAUUUAUAUUUUUUUUUAUUCGCUCUUACCAAUGAAAUAUUUGCAUUUUAUUUUUCUAUACACAAAAAAAAAGAAUAUUUAAUAAAAAUAACGAUCCGAUAAAUAAUUUUCUUGAUUUUAAGAAAUAAA